AUUGAACGCUGGCGGCAGGCCUAACACAUGCAAGUCGAGCGGGGUUUUCGGACCUAGCGGCGGACGGGUGAGUAAUGCGUAGGAAGCUGCCCGAUAGAGGGGGAUACCAGUUGGAAACGACUGUUAAUACCGCAUAAUGUCUACGGACCAAAGUGUGGGACCUUCGGGCCACAUGCUAUCGGAUGCGCCUACGUGGGAUUAGCUAGUUGGUGAGGUAAUGGCUCACCAAGGCGACGAUCUCUAGCUGGUUUGAGAGGAUGAUCAGCCUCACUGGAACUGAGACACGGUCCAGACUCCUACGGGAGGCAGCAGUGGGGAAUAUUGGACAAUGGGCGCAAGCCUGAUCCAGCCAUGCCGCGUGUGUGAAGAAGGCCUUCGGGUUGUAAAGCACUUUCAGCGAGGAGGAAGGGGUGUGUGUUAAUAGUACACACCUUUGACGUUACUCGCAGAAGAAGCACCGGCUAACUCUGUGCCAGCCGCCGCGGUAAAAC
rnacentral:rRNA from 1 species